AUCAGGAGCGACUGUAAAUAGAAAGUCAGUAGUAAGAUACAGGGGAGGGGAGGGGGGUAAUGAUGACGAUUAUGAUGAUCAAGCCACGCUGACAACAGCUCCUCCGUCUGUCGCCCUUUUGCGUCUGUCAGAAACCGAGGAUAUCGCGCCACUUUGACCCGAUUAGGACUCUGAGUUGUUCCGCUGAAGCGCAGCGAAAAGUGCGCACCUGGUCAGCGCCGCCUUAUCCUACACUUAAAGUUUUUGCUCCUUUAAGUGAAGAAUGAAGCUUGGCGUGAGUUUGUUUUGCCUGGGGAAUAUGAACUGAGCCGUGCAGUGAAAUACCAGAGGAAACAUCAGGGAGGACAACCGGGGAUGAUUUCCAGAAAUGAUGAGAGUAAUGGGACACCUUCACUCCUCCUCUGAGGCUUAAUGCGAGUGCUGCCCAAGCAUGGAGCACGAUCUGAGUAUGGGUCUGUCUCUUUGGGCAGUCGUGGCCAUUGUUUGCAACUCUGUUGUGGGUCUGCUCAUCCUCAUCCUCUUUGUUGUCCUCUACAAAGCCUGCAAGGUGCCCUCAAAUCAAGAGAAAGUCCUGUUUUUUGCUGCAAGGCUGGACCAGAAAACAGCAGAGGAGAAGUAUAUACUGACUGCAGCCUGACAGAGAUCCUGAAAAUUUGUUAAUAUGAUGAAAAAAAAGGCAAGUUAGUAUAUCAGAAGUGGACAAGCCUUUGCAAGCUUUUCAGUUUUUCUCCCCCUCCUUCUGCAUUGGGUUUUCACCCUGUUUACAACUCUCCACCAUCAUCCCCAUCUCACCUGUGACAUUCGGUAGAGCUCAGAAUAAGCUAACUGAGUUAAGAUUUGAGGCAAGACCAACAGCAACAACAACAAACGAGGCCCAAAUCCUCUUAUCUCCGCUGUGCGUCGCUGGGACUGUCCAUCUGUCAGUCGGUUUGGCCGGCUCCACACAAGCAGAUCUCCAUCUCCUCCUCCUCCUCUGCUCCAGCCUUUCUCAUCUCUCCACGCAAGACAGCUGAGAGGAUGUGGAGAUUGAAACAGCAAAAGUGCAAUGAAUUGCAAUAUAGGAGUUGGGGUUUAUAAGGCUAGUUGAAAAGCAAUGCAAUUUUUUUUUAGAAAAAGCAAUAAAAUAAAUAGCUGUGUAGCUCCCAAGCAGUUUGCAGUUUAACUGCGGUGCUAAUGAUGGAUGCAACAGAGCAGCAAACACACACAACAGGUAGAUACCCCUGGCCUGAAGAAGGAGGCAGGGAGCACAGACAUUGCUGCAGGUUGUCUCUGUUAUACGACAGAUGGAGAUAAAUUCUGGUUUAUAUUUGGGGAGAAAGGAGAUAAAAUUCAAGGGAAGAAUUUGAAAUAGGACACUUUGAUGUUUUGUUGACGGAAAAGAGAGCUUGAGGGCUCUGUUUGACAGUCUCGCACUGAUCCAGCCCCCACCGGAUUAAAACCCGCCGCAGAAGUAAAACUUACAACACGGUUGCUUAUGUUCUGCUGUGCCUUUCUUUUAUUCUUUCAGCUCCUAUAAAGGCUGAGCAAGAUGCUUAUGGACAGGCAUCAUCAAGGCUGACUGAAAAUAAAACACAUAGCCUCAAUUUUCAAAGUAAAUGUUAUUUCUGUUGUAACAAAGCUUGUGAAAAAGUGCAGCAUUUACAGUAGAUACUGUUCUUCUUGUUAAACAGGUUUUGUUUUGAUAUAUUAAAGGGCUCUGUGAAGAUAUGUGAAUUGUAACCUCGCAUACUUAUGGAUUUCAGCUCAAUGAGACAUUUAUUCCAGUUGUAUUUUUUGACCAGCUCUCUAUCCUAUUCUUACUGGGAGGAGAAUUUCAAGACUUUAUAAAAUGACUGUUUAGUGAUGACUUAUUUAUUCCAUUAAUCCAUAAUACCGAAACAUUUGUGGAAAUUAUGGAACUCAGUUUCAAGUUUGUGUCUUUUUUUUUAAAUGAAUAAUUUAAUUCCAAGCCUUAUCAGUUAAACAUUACUAACUUUUUUUUUAAUUGCCAAUAAAUACAAAUGUUAAGAGUGAUACUUUGUAGUUUUUAAGCUUGCAAUAUUAUAUAUUUAUACUUUUCUAUUUUUGAGUGAUUGUAUUUAAA